GUUCAGCCUAUGUAACUAUGACCCGCUGCUUGCAAUGUCUGCCCUCAGACGGAAUCUGCUGUGCAGGCUCUUGCCAUGUGACAACUGCUGCUGGUAGGCAGCACCUGCUCUGGCAACCUGGGAGUGCUCUGUGUGCCGUCUGUCACACAGAGCAGACCACUCUCCUAGCCUCCCUUUCCCCCUUUCCCCCAGGUAAGGCAAGCUAUCGCUGUUAAAGAG